rnacentral:tRNA from 1 species
GGAGAGGUGGGCGAGUGGUCUAAGCCAAGCCUUUUUGAGGCCAUAUGCGAUAGCGUAUCGUAGGUUCGAAUCCUACUCUCUCCGCCA